UACGUAGGGCGCAAGCGUUGUCCGGAAUUAUUGGGCGUAAAGAGCUCGUAGGCGGUUUGUCGCGUCUGCUGUGAAAACCUAAGGCUCAACCUUGGGCUUGCAGUGGGUACGGGCAGACUAGAGUGCGGUAGGGGUGACUGGAAUUCCUGGUGUAGCGGUGGAAUGCGCAGAUAUCAGGAGGAACACCGAUGGCGAAGGCAGGUCACUGGGCCGCAACUGACGCUGAGGGGCGAAAGCAUGGGGAGCGAACAGG
rnacentral:rRNA from 1 species